GGGUAGUUUGACUGGGGCGGUCUCCUCCUAAAGAGUAACGGAGGAGCACGAAGGUUGGCUAAUCCUGGUCGGACAUCAGGAGGUUAGUGCAAUGGCAUAAGCCAGCUUGACUGCGAGCGUGACGGCGCGAGCAGGUGCGAAAGCAGGUCAUAGUGAUCCGGUGGUUCUGAAUGGAAGGGCCAUCGCUCAACGGAUAAAAGGUACUCCGGGGAUAACAGGCUGAUACCGCCCAAGAGUUCAUAUCGACGGCGGUGUUUGGCACCUCGAUGUCGGCUCAUCACAUCCUGGGGCUGAAGUAGGUCCCAAGGGUAUGGCUGUUCGCCAUUUAAAGUGGUACGCGAGCUGGGUUUAGAACGUCGUGAGACAGUUCGGUCCCUAUCUGCCGUGGGCGCUGGAGAACUGAGGGGGGCUGCUCCUAGUACGAGAGGACCGGAGUGGACGCAUCACUGGUGUUCGGGUUGUCAUGCCAAUGGCACUGCCCGGUAGCUAAAUGCGGAAGAGAUAAGUGCUGAAAGCAUCUAAGCACGAAACUUGCCCCGAGAUGAGUUCUCCCUGACUCCUUGAGAGUCCUGAAGGAACGUUG
rnacentral:rRNA from 1 species